GACGAACGCUGGCGGCGUGCUUAACACAUGCAAGUCGAACGGAAAGGCCUGCUUUCCCUUGUGGAUUGCGGGUACUCGAGUGGCGAACGGGUGAGUAACACGUGAGUGAUCUGCCCCCAACUUGGGUAUAAGCCUGGGAAACUGGGUCUAAUUCCCGAUAGGACUGCAGGGUGGUGCCUGUGGUGGAAAACGAUUUUCUAGUGGUUGGGGAUGAGCUCGCGGCCUAUCAGCUUGUUGGUGGGGUAAUGGCCUACCAAGGCGGCGACGGGUAGCCGGCCUGAGAGGGUGGACGGCCACAUUGGGACUGAGAUACGGCCCAGACUCCUACGGGAGGCAGCAGUAGGGAAUCUUCCGCAAUGGGCGAAAGCCUGACGGAGCAACGCCGCGUGAGUGAUGAAGGUCUUCGGAUCGUAAAACUCUGUUAUUAGGGAAGAACAAAUGUGUAAGUAACUAUGCACGUCUUGACGGUACCUAAUCAGAAAGCCACGGCUAACUACGUG
rnacentral:rRNA from 1 species